AUUCCUUGUACCAGAUUAUUCAAAAAGAAGUCAAUGAAAUGUCUUUUCGUACAAUGCUUGUACAAAAUGCAAACUUUUAUGUUGUAUUUAAAAUAACAUUUUCAUAAACCCUUAUGAACCCCUCCAAAAAUCUAAAAAACAUAUUUUCAUCUCCAAAGUACUCCAAAAACCCUGCAAAACUCCUACAGGUUGAGCGCAUUUAUUUAUGUUUUUCUGUUUAAAUAAUGUAAAUAGAUGUUAUGUUAUUUAAAUAAUAUCAUUAGUUGGGUAAAUGUUACGAACAGUAGUAAUAGUAAACAUGUGAAUGUGAACUUGGGCCUGAUCGGAACCGCUUACAGCGCUGUUGGAGUCUGGCUCCUGGGACUGUUCGGGUACUUUCCCGGACUGGCCUGUGGGGGCGCUGUUGUUCCGCGCAGCACAAAACAGCGGGAGAAGAAGGAUCAGAAGCUACAACAAUAAUCCAGGUAAAAGCAGCUCCGCAGGGGGAAAAUCUGAGAAAAAACGGUGGAUUAAGGAGAAGAUUCCCGGUGUCAGGAUUACAGAAGAAGGAUUAGGAGAAGAAAAGUGGGAAUAAUCGUUCCUGGAGGUUAAUCUGGGCGCCAUGUUGUUUAUUUUUCCAGAUGUUUUGAUGCGCAGGCUGUAGCUUGUUUUUGACCCCCGGCGCUGUUUUUGUUAUUUUUGUUAUUUUUUAUUAGUUUUUGUGGUUGAGCUCCAGCAGCAGCAGCGGACAUGGAGAGCCUCUACAAGCGGAAAAUGUUCGCCUCCAUGAGGAAGACCAAGGUGGCCGCCUCCAAGAAGCGCCAGAUCGGCCUUCCCGCCUCCAUCCUGGACGACAGCGAUGAAGGCUCGUUCUCCUCCUCCUCCUCCGGGUCCCAGUCGGACUUCCAGAGCUCCCCGGAGGAGGACAGCGAGCAGGCGGACCGGGACUGGAGCGAGUCCGGCGGGAGCUCCAGCGACGACAGCCGCUCGGUGAGCCGCAGGAAGCGCUCCUUUCUGGGGGGCGAUGACAGCUCCUCUUCCUCCAGCCCCGGCGGAGAGGAGGAUGAAGAGGAGGAGGAGGGCCGGAGCCAGCCGAAGAGGAGCAGCCAGCCGCGGAAGAGGAGCCGGCUGCAGAGGCAGGAGGAGUCGGACUCGGAGCAGACGGAGGAGAAGCGGAAGGAGGAGGCGGAGAAGGAGAAGCGAAGGCAGCGGCACAACAAGCUGCUGGCGCUGUCCCGGAGGAUGAAGGCCCGCGUGCCCAACAGGAGGCGGAGCCGGGUCAAACAGGGUUCUGACGAUGAGGACGAGUCCAAAGACGGCGAGGACAAAAAUGGUGGCGACAAGAACGGCGGAGAAAAGAACGGCGGGGAAAAGAACGGCGGGGAAAAGAACGGCGGGGGCAGACAUGGAGGCAACGCGGAGCAGAAGGGCGGGGACGAGGGGACGAAGGACGAGGAGGAGGAGGAGGAGGAGGAGGAGGACAAAGAGGAUGAGAAGGAGUAGCCGGUCCCGGGUCCGAACGUCGGAACCAAAAACUCAAACUGUCGCUUUCUUCUUCUCUGUUUUUCCUCCUGCAGUCGACGAGCCGGACCUUCAUGAAGGUUGCUAUGGAAACGGACCCAGACAGGAAGAGGAUGUUGAACGGGUCGGUUCUGAUGAAGAGCUGAUCGGAACAGGACCGAUCUGAGUCGGAGGACGGAGCAGCUCAGUGGCAGAGCUUCAUCGCCGUGACUACACUUCCCAUGAUGCUUUGCGUGACAGAGUCUCGGCCUCCAGGGGAUGGACCGGGACUCCAGAACCGUUUCAGGGUUCUGACCCAUUUAGGAAACGCUUUCCGGGCUUUUUGGACUCAUUUGGUCCAGAAUUGCAGAACCGGACCUGGAACCAGAACCGGACCUGGUUCUGUCUGACCGGGUCAUGUGUACAUAAACCCAACUUCCUGUUCCUUAAUCAAAUCAAGUUUCUGUCUCGGUUCUGUUCAAACCGUAUUUUAGCCCGGUCCAGUUCUGAUUUUGACACAUUUGGAUUCAGUUUUUAUUUGUAGAGGGGUCAAGAGGUCAUGACCCCACAGAUGUUCCUAAAAGACAGAUUAAUUUCUGGGUUAAGCUAACGACUUCCUGAUUGGAGCUCUCGUCCAAUCAGGAUGCAAUGUUUAAAGUGGGAGGAGUUAAAAUAUGAAUUAAUGAAUCGUUGAUGACAUCACAGAAGGUUUGAGCCUCAGCCACAUGAACAGAUGUUUGUUCCAGCUGUUUAUAACCAGCUAACCUGAGUUUUUAUGAUUAGUCAGCUUUUAUUUUGAAGUUUCCAUCACAGGUCUUCCUGUGACGUUUAACCCUGGAGUCUCCUCGUUAUCCCAUCGUUAGGCUUUCUUCAAACAUAAUUAUGGAAACAUUGCUUCAGUUUGCUUGUGGGUCGCAGUGCUGCCCCCUGCAGGUUGGCGGCGUUGCCCCCCUGCAGGGCGGGCGGUGCAUUGCAGUUUUAAACUCCAUUAUAUUUCUGACGGCUGGAACAAUCUGAGAAAACAGUUAGAGAUGAAAUGUCUUCUGUUGCGUUUUAAAAGUGGAAUAUAAAAGUUUUGAAGGUUUUAGUGAAUCUGCCGGGUGAAACCGACCUGCAGGACGUCGGAUCAGAUCUGAUCAGCUGCAGGAAGUAAAGAAGGAAUCUUUUAAAAAGAGCAAAACUGAGUCAUUUAAGGCAGAACCCUAAAUGGACUUACAGCAAACGGGUCGGGUUCUGUUUGGUUCUGCUGCUUCUAAAGCUUCUAAUUUCAUAUCAGCAUUAAUAACUAAUGUAAAUACAUCAGAAAAACACUCUGUACCUUUCUGUUGGUUUUUGCAGCGCUGCAUUUAUGAGCUCGUUUUAAGACUGGACAAUUCACGUCCCAUAAUCCUCGAUUUUUCUUCUCAGUUUCUGAUGUUUCAGUUUGGAGAUUCAUCACAGCCGGGGUCCGUCUACGGAAGCUCUUAGGGACAAACUCACCGAAACAGUUUCUACGCAGGAUGUAAGCGAGUUUACGCUGGUUUUUAGUGUUUCUGUUGCUUAAUAAAAAUGCUUCAUACCAAA